rnacentral:rRNA from 1 species
GUGUCAGCCGCCGCGGUAAUACGUAGGUGGCAAGCGUUGUCCGGAUUUACUGGGCGUAAAGCGCGCGCAGGCGGCUGGCCAAGUCCGAUGUGAAAGCUUCCGGCUUAACUGGAAAACGGCAUCGGAUACUGGUCGGCUGGAAGGUGGGAGAGGGUAGCGGAAUUCCCGGUGUAGUGGUGAAAUGCGUAGAUAUCGGGAGGAACACCAGUGGCGAAAGCGGCUACCUGGCCCACUCUUGACGCUGAGGCGCGAAAGCUAGGGGAGCAAACGGGAUUAGAUACCCUGGUAGUCC